ACAGUUUGCAUUAGGUUGCAGGCACAAAGAGAAGUGAGACUGCUCCUGCUGGUGGUUACCUUGAAUUUUACAAAUGACCUUACAGCCUUUCUGAGACUUGAGUUGCAGGGGUCCUCAACAAUAAAAUCAAUACACUAUUAUUAUUUCCUUCCUUUGAGUUUAUGACCCUGGUGAUAAAGUAGUUGAGAAUAGUGGAAUAAACCCUUGACUUGAACUCAGGGAAAUUGUUUUAAACUCCAACUUUAAUAAAUCUCACUUCAGGCAUUCAAUGAAUAUUUGAUGAAUGAAUGAACAAAACCUAACUAGUUAUAAGACACCUGACUUCACUGAGUCUCGAUUUCUUCAUCUGUAAAAUGAUCUAAUUCCUACCUCCUGGGAGUGUUGGGGAGAUUGAAUGAAAUAGUAUAAGGGAGAGUGCUUUGUAAAUUGCAAAAGUGUUAUAAAGAAGUUAGUGAUAAUGAUUUUUCAGACCUGAGAAAUGGCGUAAAAAAUUAAAAACAGACUCAAGAAAUAGUAUGUUGAGAUAGAUAAGCUUAGCUAAUGGGAAAAAGCUAGCUAAGUCUUUCUACAAAUGUUUAUUGAGCAAUUAUUGCAUAUACUAUGCUUGUGAAAGAGAAUAAAAAUGUGCAGGAAGCAGCACAAAUUAGUAUUAUUAGUUAUCAUUCUUAUAAUUAAGUAUUGACAGUAUAUAGGGGCUGCAGUCAGUUUCCCUCUGGGAGUGUGGAAAUCAGGUUGCCCUCAGAAUUAAACUAAUAAAAAUUUACAUAGUAGAAGAAAUUAACUAAUGGUGAUAGUAAACAUAUUUUAACAACUGGUACUGCUCAAGCACUGAUCUACCAGAUGUGAAUUCCAGGAAGGGUCCAAGAGAUAUCCCUCUGUACUAGGUGUUAACCCUUCAGUUGCUAGUUUUUAAAUAGUAGGUCCCAGGGGAGGGGAGUUGUCAGGAAAGUUGGAACAGCAGCUAUUUACCAGCUAGUACCAAAGUAUUUCAGUAUUUUAGUAGUCGGUAUUAUAACUGGUAUCAGUCACACUAGUACAUACAGGCUGAAUAUUAGUCCUUGCUGUAGACUGUGGUUAUCAAUAUUCUCUGCCCUUCCUUUUCUAAAACCCUCCCCAUCUGGCCUGUCCCUAGGAGGUUAUACUUCUCACCCUAAUGCCAUCAAGCUAGGCUUUGUUUUGGUCAGUGAAAUGUGAGUAUAAAUAGCUUGAUCCAGUUCUGAGCAGAAAUGUAUGGACCAUCUCAUGAUUCCACCAUAUUUUUCUUCAGCCCUGAGAGGAUCAUGUUCCAUAUAGAGCUGCUUUUCUAGCUUUGGUCCCAGAAUGAAGAUGUGCAGAGCCACAGCUGACGCAUAAGACAUGUAAUGCCUCACUUCCCACAAGCUAUUCCUGGCCGAUGACUGAGCACAGCAGAGAAUUUUGGACAGACUUCUUCCUGGGGUGUCUGUUUUCUGAGGAUCUGAACUGACAUGAGGGGAAGGAGGAUGAGAUCGUAGUACCUCCUCUCCACCCCAUCAGCCAUAGGGGUAAGCCUAUGACCCAGUCUGACCAAUCAUAAUGAUCCCCACAUCUUGGCCCAGUGCCUCCUCAGAGUCUCUCUGCAUCAUUUGGCUCCCAGACCAUCAGCUGCUUGUUCCACCUCAACCACAGACGUGGCUGACCAACUCUGAGUGAGGCCUCACAGUUCCACUUCCUGAGGCCAACUAGUUGCAAAUAUGGAUUCUCUGGCUUCUCCUGCAAUUUCCAGACCCUGAGGACACACCACCUCACAGAGCAUGAGAUCUGCCUUCCUAAGCAGCUGCUGAAGGGGUCAAUGAAGCAACCUAGAAGUACAGGAGAUUUAACUGCCCAUGGGGUCAACUAUGAUUAAUGGGGGAACAAUCCACUCUCCCUUCCUUCCUCUGAUGGACUGUUUCACGGUAUAGUUUCUCUAUACAACCCGUCUAUAGGCAUUCUAUAUGGCCAAGUGGGUAGACCUGUCCAGAGACUAGAUGUGUCUCUUCACAGCUCAUCGUAAAGAAGUAGCAGCAAACAUUUCCUUGCAUUGCUUGCCAUCUUUUCCUGCUUCCCCUGUCCCCUUAUCCUCACUGCCCUAGGACUGUGCAUCCCAUAUAAAGCUUUAGCACUUAACCUCUUUUUCAGGCUUUGUUUUCCAGGAACCCUUGCUUAGACAGAUCACAGUUUCUGAACAGAUGGGCACAUGACCCAAACUAAGCUAAGCAAGGCCUUCCUAAAGAUGUGAAAUAUAGGAGAGACAGGACUUUUCUUCUGUAGGUCUUGAGCCAUAAAGAUCUGUGGGUGGCUAUCAUUUCUGCUUUAUGGACAGAGCCUGCCUGAGCAUGAAGGCAUCACAGAGGAAGGCAGAGCUCAGAGAAAGAGAAGGACACAGUGCCCAGACAUCCUUUGGGCUCUGAGAUCCAACUCUCUCCAAUAUAUGUAACUGUUUUUGUCAUUUCUUUACCUCCCUAAAGACCAGUUUUCCCAAUCCAGAUCAAAGAAAAUGUGGUCAUCCCUAGAUCCCACGUUGCCUACAUUAAAGAGAUCAGUCAGGUGACUAGAUUUUUGGGCUCAAUUUCAAAUUCCUGGGAGAGAGAGCUGUUCCUUGGAUUAACUUUAGCCAGAAGUUUGCCCCUGAACCAAUCAACUUCAUUAUGAGGUACAGGAUCAGGUAUACACAUGGCUGUAGCCACUGUAAGCCUGUGAAUGAAGGUGUGGUAGCGUAUAGGGAUAGAAAAGUGGGAGCAGAGAGUUGGGCAGACCAACCAAUGGCUGCCCACUCUCUGAGAAUAAAUAAGGGGGGAAAGGGGAAAGGGAAGGGGUCUGAGGACAGAACACUAUCUAACCCAAUGCUAUCCUACACUUUAUCUAAAGCAACACUAUCCAACAGAACUCUCUGCAAUAAUGGAGAUGUUUUCUAUCUGUGCUGUUAAAUAUAGCAAUCACCAGCCACAUGUGGUUAUUUAGCACUUGAAGACAGCUAAUACAACUGAGCAACUGAAGUUUUUUCCUCAUUUAUUUUAAUUUAAAAUUGAAUAACUAUAUGUAGUUAAUGACUACAUAUUGGACAAUACAGACCACACUGUUGAUCUGCUUGGGAAGACAGCGUGGAAUAUUGGCUAUUGCGUCUGCUUUGGAGUCAGCCCGACCUAGGUUCAAGUCUCAACUCUACUUCUUAUAAAUUGAACAGAUUACUUGACCCCUCUGAGCUGUAGAGUUAAAAGACGUAAAGAACGGUAAACAACAUAGGAUACCAAAAAGAGAGAAAGGGGCAAAAGAUUCUGCAAAGGGACAAAAAGUCAGUUGGAUUUAGCAAUUAGGAGACUGAGUGAAUUAAGACAGAAGUGUUCAAAGUGUGUUGGGGUAAGAGCCAGACCAGCAAUUUACCUGUCUUUUGGACAUCUGUUAAGUAUCUUUCCUCUGGAGGGGGGAUACCAGGCACGGAGAGACAGGGAACACAAAAAUUUUCUCUUAAUCCUGAUGGCCACAUGGGGAGCUAAAAACCCAAAGGCAUGUCCUGAAGGUAGGGCUCCAAGGUCAAGCCAGAAAAACAGUCAUAAACAGUCAGCCAUGGGGUCUGGAGCCAAAGAUGGGGUUGCCUAGACCAGGAAGCUAGAAGAAAAGAACACCUCAUAAAAUACCCUCAUUACAUAGCACUUACUGUGUGACUAGAUUGUGAGCCUUUCAGGGUUCAGGGCCAUGUUCUUCUUGGUAUCCCCAUCAUCUAGUAAGUUCCAGACACCAUAGUAGGUGUUAAAUUAACAUCUGUAGAAUGAAUGAAUGAAAGUAAGCCAGUCCACUCCCUGGUGCAUGGUAGACACUCUAAAAAUGUUAAGUUAUCAGAAGGAGAAAACUCUGCAGUGAGAAGGUGCCAGGGUAUCCGUCUUGGCUUGGAAACCCUGUUUGUAAGGUCCCCAGCAUAUUGCCUGGCACAGAGGGAUUGCUCAACGAGUGGUCACAAGGGUAAUGAUUAUUAGUGGGGGAGAAAGCUUUUGCAUAAUGAUUGGGGAAAGCCUUGAUAAUAAUAAGAGCUAACCUAUGUUGAUCUCAUUUAAUUCUUAGCCCACUCAACGAGAUAGAUUUUAUUAGACUGAUUUUAUAGAUGAGGAAACUUAAAGAAGAGAUGUAAUUUAUCCAAAGUUAGCCAGUUCAGAAACCUCAGGGCUGGAGUUGAACCUGAGCUUCCAUGAUUCCAGAGUCUAGGCUCCAGCAGCAAAGAUUUGGGAGGCAGGAGGAUUGCCAAAAGAGGAGUUUAAGGAAGAAAGUUCUGGGGUCGAAAUUCACUUCUGAUUUCUAUACAUUUACACAAAUCAUGAUGCCUUCUUCUCCCUUGAAUGCCCGCUUCUUGACUUCUUGGCAAGGUCCUCACCCCUUCUACUGAGUUCAUCUCUGGGCCACCCUUCUGUUUCCUGUCCCAUUCAACCAUAUAUACUCUCCUUCAACUUAAGGAAAUAGGAAUUGAAAUGGGGUCAAGGGGAGCUUUUUAUUUGUUGGUUUGUUUUAGUUUUAAGAAGGAAAACUCUAGAGCAAUUUUGUAAACUAGGUAUUCCAGUAGACAGGCAGAAAUUGACAAUGCAAAAGAGAGAAAAGAUCUGCAGAAGUAAGUUUUUGGGGUCCUUGGCACAGAUUGGGUAGAGUUUGACCUCUGAUAGGAGCUGGGACCCUGAGACUUUUCUUCAGAGCAAAAGAAGACAGAGAAUAUGGAUACAGAAGCAGGAAAGUUCAUAAAUGUUAAGAAGCUUAAAAUCCAAAGUUAAGUUUUGCAGCAAUUGAUGAUGGAAUGGUCUAGGACAGUGUUUUUCAAAUUGCAGGUCCUAGCUUAUUAGUAGACCAUAAAAUCACUUAGAAGUUUGCAACCAGCUUUAUUUUAAAAAAUGGAAUAGAAUUGAAAAUUUGAACUAAUUACACAUAGCAAGGGUAAAUACUGUGAAAACUACUGUGAAACUUCUGUUUCAGUUAUAUAUCCAACUACAUGUAUACUGUAAAGUUUAUUUCUUAUUGAGGGCACAGUAAAACAUAUUUUAAAGCCACUGUUCCAGGAUGAGACCAUGAGAAGAGUGGCUGAUUCCUAGAACUUUCUUUCUCUUCUAUGAUGUGUGUAAAUUGGCCUUGCUUUGUGACCAAUAGUAGGCACCCUAAGGGACAUGAGCCUGAUGCAGUAUGCCAGAGCUUCCUACGCAGUGGCUAUAGCAUGUGCAUUCCAUAUGUGCCUAAACAUUAGUCUCCUAGUCUUCGGGCUACUCUUUCCUCCUGAGAAGAAAAUCCUGAGAUUCACUAUGAUUGGACAGGCUGAGUUCAUACCACCACCCUGAACCAAUCAUUCUGGCCAGUGAGAUUGACCAGCUCACCCCUCCUCUUCCCUGAUGGAGUCAGCUUCCUGGAAACACAUGGAUCGUAGAAAGGAAAUCAGGGGCUGUUGCAACGGGGGAAAUGGAAAAAUGAGGUAAUCAACUAAUGUUCAAUACACAUGGCCUUUGAGGUGCCAAAAUUAGUUGUAAGUUUCAAUAACAUUUGUGCUGGUCAUUUGCCUGUUUGCUCUGAGCUCUAAUCUAGCCUUUCCAUGCUCUGCUUUGUGCUGAAGAGUGCCAGGCCCUGAAAGGCCCUGAAAAGUACACUUCCCAGACUCCCCUUGCUAGCUGGCUUCCUGUCAGAUUCAGCCAAGGGGAAGUACAGGUGGGAAAUUGUUUGGCUGGAGAUGGGAUGGCUGGAGGAGAGGCAAAGCCAUUUUCUCUCUGCAUCCGCUAGAGACUCUGGCAGCAGCUGGUGGUUAUGGGCUCAGACCUUCAGCGUUUCCAAAAGUGUCAGUGGUACUGGAGGGAUAGCUGUAGACUCCAGUGACCUCUGGCAGUUCUGCCAGCAGCAUCAUUUCAAAAGCAAUAUUCCAGUAGCAUCAACAGCAAGUGCACUUCUGGAUCUAGUAAACACCCUUCCAUUUGAUCCUCCAGGUCUAGGGGUGGUAGAAGCUUCCUGCAGCUACUAAUCUCUAGUCUUCCUCACCUUACCCUUUUGCUUCCUCAAGCCAACCAGUUCUCUGAAAUAAAUUACCUCUGUUUGAAAUUCCAAGCAUGUUUUCUGUUUUCUUGUCUUCGCCCUGACUGACAUGGCACUGCCCUGGCCAUUAGCUGACUGCCAUGAUUAAUUUCCCAGGUGUGCUGUUUGCAGAUGUUGAGCUGGGUGAUGCCACAGAGCAGAACAUUAAGCUCUCUCCUGGGGCAUUGGGACAGGAGCAAGGGAGACCCUGGAGAAAGCACAGAGAAAGCCUCCCACUCCUUUUGCUUCCUCAUCUUUCCCUAUUAGAACUGUGUGAUGGAGAACUUAACUGCCUGCCUCCCAAGAUAACUUGACUCCACAUUGUGACUGAAAGGGAUGGGCUGUGGAAUGAUGGGGUGGGAAUACAGCAAGGAGCACAGUUGGCAAGGGGGCCCAAAAUGGACGAGCCGGGAUAGGGUGCCCUUGCUGCAGAGUAGAGUUUAG